rnacentral:rRNA from 1 species
AGGGGGCAAGCGUUGUCCGGAAUCAUUGGGCGUAAAGCGCGUGUAGGCGGCCCGAUAAGUCCGCUGUGAAAGUCCAGGGCUCAACCCUGGGACGCCGGUGGAUACUGUCGGGCUCGAGUCCGGAAGAGGAGUGUGGAAUUCCUGGUGUAGCGGUGAAAUGCGCAGAUAUCAGGAGGAACACCAAUGGCGAAGGCAGCACUCUGGGACGUGACUGACGCUGAGACGCGAAAGCGUGGGGAGCAAACAGG